CCAUAAAUAGUAUGGUGACACCGCUGGAUAAUUACAGCAGAAAAUAUCACUAGACUCUUAAGGUUAAGUUUUUAAAAACUAUAAAUAAUUUUUAAAAACUAAUAAAUAGAAUACCUUGCACACAAUAUAAUAUUAUGGUGGUAGUGUUUCUUUGCGAAUGUUUAAUGCGAGUGAAUGAUUAAAACUAUGUUCAGCAGGUUGAUAACAAUUAAAACUAUUAUCAAUCAAAUCUAAGGCAAGUCAACUUACAAAAGUAAUGAUGGUUACAAGCUCCUGGUGGUGCAUUGCAGUUGUCUUGCGUUGAAGUCUAAUUAUCAGUGACCAGUUAGGGUUAUGACAGGGGGUGUUGAGGCCAAACAUUCCUCAGCCAAGCAGCGCAAACAAAAAUCCUGUACUGAUACACACAGCUCACCGGAGAUGGUAAACUUGAGUGCUUUCCUUUGUACGAACCACAAGAACCCAUGACAUUCAACAUAUAUAAUGUUUGUUGUUAAACUUGAUGUUCCGUUCAACUAAUAAAAACUAAGAGCGAGUCACCGCCUUGAAUGAAAAAUAAUUUAUUAGAAAGAAGUGAAUUGAAUUUCUCAUACUCUAGCAGAACUGUCAGAGGUCGGAAAAACAAAGCACAUCAUGGAGAUGUAGCAGACAACGUACUGUCGUGCGAUUCCUAUGAGCGUUUACGGUUACCGCUAUGCCGUUUCGAUUGAGUUCAUAGUUCUAAGCCUGGAGUAAAGGGGCAGCUGGGUAGUCACGUUACUCAUCCCUUUCCAAAAACUGUCCAACAAGUGUCUAGUGAACUUUUAGCAACAGGGACAACUUAAUUCCAAAGUAACCAACCAAACGAGCAUGAACCAACAGCCAAUCAUAUCCACAACUUGCUAGCCGAAGAUUAAAUGUUCCCCAACUCUCCCAUCAAGUAUUCUUCAUCACAGAUCUACAGCAGUUUUUAAGAGAUGAAAGGGACCAACGCGAACAAUGAACACUAGCUCAUUCAACUUCACGAUCGGAUUAAUUAAUCAAAACAACUGAUUGGUGUUAGUUGUUUAUUGUUAUGACAUGACUGCAAAAUCUGAAAUGCUAUCUCCAAAUUUCUUAAUUUAAUGGUAAAAAUGAAACAACCUAUCCAAAAUUUAAAUUGUAAUUCUAAAAUUUUAACCUAUUUUUUUGCGGUUACAAGUAGAUUGAAUGUUUAGAAAUGGCUUUUCUUUGUGCAUUUUUAAACAUGCCUGUUCUGUGUUAGACAAGCAAAUCUCUUUUAAUUGGUACUAGCUUGAGGAAUGCCAUGUCUGUCUCCCCUGAUCUGCUGAUGACAGGUCACACUGUAUUAAAGGUACAAAGUUGGGACAUUUUAGUAUAGUUAGCAGAAAAACGGUUCACUGAGGACAACCUUCAGUUUCGCUGCCCUGCUUGUUCUGCUUGUUAGUGAAGUGAAAUCCUGCCGUCACACGGUUUAUAAUGUUUUGGCUCCGAAGUAUUAGGAUAAAACCGGGGAUCACUGAACACCUGGUGGACACAAGUUUCACACUCUCUCUCCACUUUCUAACUGUUCAAUGAUUCUGAAAAUUCCUAUCAAUUAUUCAUAAUAGAAGUUUGCCAACAUGGCCGAUUUUUUAUUCUGUUGCCUCCUUUUGUCUUGUAAAUAUUCUCCAAGUCCUUAAACAUUUUUGUUUUUGUCAGGUUAAGGACCUCCAACCUAUCUCGCACCUUGCAGGAUCAUCCAGAGGUUAAAGGCAGCAGCAGCUCCAACAGACAACUAGGUGUUGGUGCCAUCUAGAUUCCAGUUCAAAAAUCUGUCGGGGCAUCCAUAGGGGCCGCUCCAAAGAGCCACAUAUUUAUCAAUUCCGGACCAGACAUCCAGCCACCAACGCCAAUAUCAACACUAUCAACAGCUUGAUGAAUCAGAUACCUGAAGAUUGAACAUAAUCCCUAAACCGACGAAUGACUGUAAUCCUAAACACUGAGUGGUUUCCAAGAGAUGAAAGGUCCGAACCAAUCAUAUCCACUGAUUGGUUUUAAAUUGUUUAUCAUUAAUAUUAUGUCAACAAAAUCUAAAGUGCUCUCUACCUAACUUUUUUCUAAAUUUAAUGUUACAAUGCAAGAACCUUUGCAAAAAUUAAGUUGCUGUACAAUUAUUUCAACCAUUUUCAAUUGUACUAUAGGUAGUUAAAAUUGUCAGAAAGCCUCUUACAUUUGUAAAGUUUUUUAAAUGGUCUUUUCUGUGUGAAACAAGCAUAUAAUCUUUUAUUAUGACAGAUCAUAUGUCUCCAGUACUCAUUAGGUAUCUAAAAUGAAGUUUGUAUAAUUUAUUUUCAGACCAAAAGGCUAGUAAUGAUUUUGAUUUACUUGUGUCUCUUCAGUGCUUGUUUUGUGGGUUUUAAGUGUGUUUACUGUGAAAGAAUAGUCAUGUUAUGUCAAUGAUAGGGUUAAAUAGAACUAUCUAGGUCUACUUUGUAUUCAGAUUCUUUGUUUUUAACUU